rnacentral:miRNA from 1 species
AUUUUUAGUGUCGGUUUUG